AUACUUAUCUGGCAGGGGAGAUACCAUGAUCACGAAGGUAGUUUACCUUGGGUGAGGCUUAUCCAUUGCACCCGGAUGUGCUGACUCCUGCAAUUUCCCCAAAUAUGGGAAACUCGAAUGCAUAAUUUGUGGUACUGGGGGACUGCAUUUGUGCUCUUCCUUG